rnacentral:rRNA from 1 species
CUUACAAUCUUUAUUCGGUACGCAAGUACACGCACGCACGCAACACACACGAACACCGUACGCACACACAGCGACCCAUCCGCACUCUCGGCCUCGAUCGAUCGGUCCGGCUUGAACCACCGACGAUCCACACCAACAAUCGCGUACGUACGUGACCAUCAAUCGACCAAUCGGCCGGACCUCAAUCACCGGCCAUCACCACCGGCACACCACG